rnacentral:rRNA from 1 species
UACGUAGGUGGCAAGCGUUGUCCGGAUUUACUGGGCGUAAAGGGCGUGCAGGCGGUUUGUUUAGUCUAGGGUGAAAGCUCCCGGCUUAACUGGGAGAGGUCCUUGGAUACUGGCAAACUUGAGGGAGGCAGAGGAAAGUGGAAUUCACGGUGUAGUGGUGAUAUGCGUAGAUAUCGGGAGGAACACCAGUGGCGAAGGCGGCUUUCUGGGCCUUACCUGACGCUGAGACGCGAAAGCGUGGGGAGCGAACCGG